GGAAAUGUCACUCAUAGAUAAAAUGCUAGGAUCAUAUAUGAUUAUUUGGAUACUUAUAAAACAUACACUUAAAUGAGAACUGAUUAAGGUGGGUUACCCAAUAACAUGUAUCACAACUUCAUAACAUAGAGCUAUCCUAAUCAAAGUGUUUUGCAGCGGAAAACGUGUGAGAUAUACAUAUGAAGAUGUAUACUCAAGGUUACAUUUCUUGAAAUGUCAAAGGGACACCCGCUCAACAUCAUUCCAUUCCAUCAGUUGCUCAACCUGCACAUUUAGAAAUACAUGCAGGGCUGAGUAUAAAAAUACUCAGUGGGCACGUAUGCCUAGGUAUAAAAAUACAUGCUUCAAAACUGUAAAUUGUCAUGCCAUCAUAAACAGUACAACAAGGGAGUUUUUCGCUAAAAAGGCCCAAGCUUACUAAGUUCAUUUGUGAUUCUUAAAGUUCGUCUGCAGACUAAGUUCUCUUGUAAUCUAUCAUAUCUGGAACUGUGUGCCGGAGAGGUGGCCACCUCUCACGGUCACUUGACCGGCCAACCCGCUAGAUGACUCACGGUCACUGGUGUACACUAGCCCUGGCAGGAUAGCUAUCAACUGCUCAGGACCCGAAUUCGAUUGCAUCAUUGGCAAAGCCAAAGCAGAUAGAUAUCAUACUAAAAUUUAAACAUUUUAUGGCAAGACAAUACUUGAAAUAACUUUAACUCAAAUAUUUUGUAACGAAAUAACUUGCUCAAAUGUAACAUUAAACUCAUUUGAUAGGUAUAUAAAACUGAAAUUAACAGUUAAAUCAUCUCAUGCAUUCAUUCGUAUAAGAGGCCUACGACACGCAGGGGAUCUCUAUAUACGUAUAGUAAAAGUAAUGCCCAC
rnacentral:lncRNA from 1 species